AUUGAACGCUGGCGGCAGGCCUAACACAUGCAAGUCGAGCGGAUGAAGGGAGCUUGCUCCUGGAUUCAGCGGCGGACGGGUGAGUAAUGCCUAGGAAUCUGCCUGGUAGUGGGGGAUAACGUCCGGAAACGGGCGCUAAUACCGCAUACGUCCUGAGGGAGAAAGUGGGGGAGCUUCGGACCUCACGCUAUCAGAUGAGCCUAGGUCGGAUUAGCUAGUUGGUGGGGUAAAGGCCUACCAAGGCGACGAUCCGUAACUGGUCUGAGAGGAUGAUCAGUCACACUGGAACUGAGACACGGUCCAGACUCCUACGGGAGGCAGCAGUGGGGAAUAUUGGACAAUGGGCGAAAGCCUGAUCCAGCCAUGCCGCGUGUGAAGAAGGUCUUCGGAUUGUAAAGCACUUUAAGUUGGGAGGAAGGGCAGUAAGUUAAUACCUUGCUGUUUUGACGUUACCAACAGAAUAAGCACCGGCUAACUUCGUG
rnacentral:rRNA from 1 species